UACGUAGGGGGCAAGCGUUAUCCGGAUUUACUGGGUGUAAAGGGAGCGUAGACGGCGAUGCAAGCCAGAUGUGAAAGCCCGGGGCUCAACCCCGGGACUGCAUUUGGAACUGUAUAGCUAGAGUGUCGGAGAGGCAGGCGGAAUUCCUAGUGUAGCGGUGAAAUGCGUGGAUAUUAGGAGGAACACCAGUGGCGAAGGCGGCCUGCUGGACGAUGACUGACGUUGAGGCUCGAAAGCGUGGGGAGCAAACAGG
rnacentral:rRNA from 1 species